CCGCUGACGACCGGCGCACGGGUGCGUAACGCGUAUACAAUCUACCUUUUACAGGGGCAUAGCCCGGGGAAACCCGGAUUAAUAUCCCAUGGUAUCAUUUAGUGGCAUCACUUGAAUGAUUAAAGUUUCGGCGGUAAAAGAUGAGUAUGCGUUCUAUUAGCUAGAUGGUAAGGUAACGGCUUACCAUGGCUACGAUAGAUAGGGGUCCUGAGAGGGAGAUCCCCCACACUGGUACUGAGACACGGACCAGACUCCUACGGGAGGCAGCAGUGAGGAAUAUUGGACAAUGGGCGAGAGCCUGAUCCAGCCAUGCCGCGUGCAGGAAGACUGCCCUAUGGGUUGUAAACUGCUUUUAUACGGGAAGAAACACUCCUUCGUGAAGGAGCUUGACGGUACCGUACGAAUAAGGAUCGGCUAACUCCGUGCCAGCAGCCGCGGUAAUACGGAGGAUCCAAGCGUUAUCCGGAAUCAUUGGGUUUAAAGGGUCCGUAGGCGGGAUAAUAAGUCAGUGGUGAAAGUCUGCAGCUCAACUGUAGAACUGCCAUUGAUACUGUUGUCCUUGAGUAAUUAUGAAGUGGUUAGAAUAUGUAGUGUAGCGGUGAAAUGCAUAGAUAUUACAUAGAAUACCGAUUGCGAAGGCAGAUCACUAAUAAUUUACUGACGCUGAUGGACGAAAGCGUAGGUAGCGAACAGGAUUAGAUACCCUGGUAGUCUACGCCGUAAACGAUGGUUACUAGCUGUUUGGCUCGAU
rnacentral:rRNA from 1 species